GAUACACCGAUGUCCACGUCACUAGAAGGAUAGCACUCUACACUCUUAUAGAUAAAAUCUAGUAAUUUUUAAUAGGGACAUACUAUUAGAAACCUAUAAAAGGCGGCUAUUAAUUGUUAGGUUUAUCAGUUUUCUGCACAGUGCACAGAAGCAAGGAGCUAGCUAAAAGGGAAUUGGACAAGCGUCAGUGUUGAACCAAUAUUGGUAUCGAGAUAAGUGGGAAGUGUUUGAAGAUCUUCCUUUAUAAAUAGAAAAUCCAACAUGUUUGAAUAAACAUUUUGAUCCAAAAUGAAAAUAAAAUGAGCGUUUAUUUUCGCUACUUGUUAUACCUCUUGCUAUCGUCUUUACUUAUGAGAAUUUGUGAGAGUUUUCCUUUCAUUAAAAUGGGAAGCAAGCAUAUGUUGACCGGGACAGACAAAGACGCUAGUGUACUUUCAAGUGGUUUCGGAGAGUUUGUGCAGGACGAUAUUACAUUAAAAGAUGAAUUAUCCAAACGUACCGAACAUUUAAGAAAGGUGCGACGUAGUACCGUGGAUGCAAUAGCUUUGUUGUUAAAAUAUCAUAUUCUUUUACACGAUUCAAAAGCAGAUCCAAAGACACAUGACACGGAUAAAAGAUCAGAAAAAAUGCCUACUAUACAUAAACGUUUUAAUGUAUCAAGUGAUUAUUAUUCAGAACUCAAUGGACAACCAAACAGUCAAUUAACACUUUUAGAACUUUUACUUCAAGACCCAAAAAUAGCAGACGUUUUGAAAGCAAGAACUAAGCACAUAUCAUCAACCGAUCAGCGUAGUCGACGUUCCUACUUUCUUGGUUUGGACGUCGGCACGGCUGUUCCCGACACGGACACAGAUGUGACUUUUGGUGCUCAUACAGCUCCUUGUGAUUACAAGGACAGAAACUACUGCUUGAACGGAGGGACAUGUAUGCUUGUGCCUGCCAUGGAUUUACAAACAUGCAGAUGCAAGAUCGGUUACACGGGACUACGGUGUCACAUGAUCAACCAGGAAUUUCUGCUGCAUCUGCUCUCGGAAGAGUUCUUCGGCUAAACAUAAUCAAAUGGAAUAUUGGUACUACUCGCCAUUUUGACACCUGACCACUGUGUACCACGUGGUCUCGCUUGGAGGCACGUGAGUGAGGUCACGUGAUACAGAACCGAUCCGGGAUUUGACCAUCACAUUAAGAAAGCCAUGAAAUGACGUGUACGUGGGAAAUGCAUCGUUUAACAUAUCCAUGGACGCAAAGAGCACCGUAAAUAUCCGAGUUUCUGACUUCUGCCCACUUUCAUAUGCAAAUGAAAAUGUGUGACAUUAUGGGAUGGCAUUUUGGAUAGAAAACUCGAAGCGCCAUUAUACGGGAUGAACUUUAGAAGGCUUUUCGCAAUAAGCCUGUAAGAACAGUGCAGGCGAUUUAGCGACAUGUCCAUUUUUGUCGUCUCCAACUAUUAACAGCGCAGAAGUAAUUUUAAACGGUAUUGGAAAACUCACACAUCAGUUGGUCAAAUGUUUAAGCUCAUACUUUUUCAGCCUCCUAGGCAUAUGGUUGUGGAUUUUUUAUGCAUUGGGAAGGUUUUUGAUUGGAUUUCAAAACAUUAAUUUCACAAUAUGCUACCUGUAUGUUCAAUGUUAUUGUAUUUUUGAUAUAUUUGAUCUGUGUCUUUGAAAGAUAUGUAUAAAUAUGGCAAAAAAUAUAUAUAAAAGAGUGUGGACAUUCAAGUUUCAUCAUAAUUACGGUAUUUAUUUACUUUACAUAUUUAUUUAGUCAUGGCAUAUUUAUUUGUCAUAUGUCUUUGUUCAUUCAUUAUGUGAUCGUGUAAACAUAUAUCUGCAAUGAUUGUAGUGCUAAAAUAAAAUGUU